UACGUAGGGUGCGAGCGUUAAUCGGAAUUACUGGGCGUAAAGCGUACGCAGGCGGCUUUGCAAGACAGGUGUGAAAUCCCCGGGCCUAACCUGGGAACUGCAUUUGUGACUGCAUGGCUAGAGUUUGUCAGAGGGGGGUGGAAUUCCACGUGUAGCAGUGAAAUGCGUAGAUAUGUGGAGGAACACCGAUGGCGAAGGCAGCCCCCUGGGAUAUGACUGACGCUCAUGUACGAAAGCGUGGGGAGCAAACAGG
rnacentral:rRNA from 1 species